AUAUGUUAAUUGACAAGAGUAUUGCCACAUAUGACAUAUAUAUAUAUAUAUAUAUAUAUAUAUAUAUAUAUAUAUAUAUAUAUAUAUAUAAGAAAGUUGUCCUUAUCCAGCCGUUAAGUGUUCAAAAUCUAAUAAAUUUUUCUACUUGGAAUCUCAUAAGAAACAUCAGGUCCAUGGACAACAACAUCAGUUCUCUGGUUCAUUCCUUCUGGUCAUUGGCUUAAGGACAUCAACUUCCAGAUGCUGUGGUUUCAUUUCAUCAAGUGCCUGACAGCUUUCUGAAAUUUCCUCCUUGCCCUUCAGACCAUCCACAGGUGUGGAGGGUACGUCACUUUCUGUGACAGCUUAGCAGAUGACCUAAGACCAGGCGGUGUAAGACUGAGAAGAGGAGGAAAGUCACAGAGGCAGCGCAGAUUGCUCAGGGCAAACACACGGAAUCCCACCUUACCAGCAAUGCAGCCAUGGCAACAGCUUCUCACUAGCCCUGGGGCCAGCCCCACCACACUCAUGGAUCAAUGGACUUUCUCUACAGUUGGGAAUAGCCUGACUCCACAGCAUGGCAUGUGGUUUCUUUACCUGCACUGAGGUUUUUUACCUGCAAAAUGUACAGAUAAAGGACCUGAAAUCCUUUGCCUGCACUGAAAUGAUUCUCCUGAAUUAGAUACUAAUAUUGAGCCACUCUACACCCUUUGAAUACUUGGGCCCCAACUCAGAUUUCCUUUGCAACAAGACUGUGAAAACCACUUUGAUCUCUUUUUUGCAGGGUCCUUUGCUGGGCAGACAGAUGACUCAGUGAAAUCUAGUCUAUUUAUUCGUUACUGGAGAGGAAGUGAUUAAGCUUUCCAGGCUGGAACAACAUCCACCAUCAGGAACUGGGAUUGGGCCUUAGGAAUGAGCUGUUGCAAAUGAGAGGGCCAAGGGAAGUUAUUUCUGUUACUAGUGGUGUUACCUUCUAUGCAGUGAAGUGGUUUUGACAACCAAUGCAUUAGGAUCUGCAAAAUUGAAGGAUGAGGGACUGAAGCGGAAAACAUCCCUGACUUGUGCUGGAAAGCGUUAACCCCAGCAAACAGCUUGUUGAAUUCAAGGCAGAACUUAAGUUAGUCAGGAAAGAAAGGAGCAGAGUAGACUAGUGAUACUCUUACUCCCUUCUCCACCCAACCCAAGGGGAAUAGUAUAACUAAACUCAUACAGCCUAUUCCCAAAUGAGGCAAAAUUAUCUGGGAGUUGCUAAGCCCCAGAAAAGAGCUAAAUUAAACGGAUUACACCCUCUGCCCUCCAUAAUCAAAUGAACACAAAGUUGAUCCACCAUUUUUAAGUGUAAGGAGCAACAAAACUCCACUGAAGGCAUCCAGGUCUGAGCCAUUCUUCCUCCUAACUGACUUCAAAGCUGGCACUCCUAGACUCCAUUUUCCUGCUUUUCUAGUUUAUGGCUCAACUUUCUACUUGUUAGAAUCAUGGCACCAUGCUCUUGCAUCCUUCAUGCCACCAGCUUCCUCCGCACUCAUACUCAUCAUUAACAGCUCACACAUCUCUUGCUGAUCAAGGGGGCUCCUCUGCUUUUCAGUGCCUGACUGGGGGCUGUACUGCACAUGGGAACAAGGCCUGGCAUCUUCCUUUGUCUUUGUUUAAAAUCUAUUCCCUACAAGUUGCGAGGUUUCCAAGGAUAGGAUUGUGGGUAUGUAAAAAUGCAUAUGUGUCCUGCCCGCCAACCCAUGCUGCAUAUUGAAUGUGUGUAGGCAACAAAAAAUAGUUCUAGUAGCAUAGAUAUGGUAGCUAUAUGUGAGGCACUAGCUCAUUAAAUCCUCAAAAUGACCUUUCAGGGAGGUAUUUAUGAUCUUUAUUUUUAGAUGAGGACAUUAAAACUCAAAAAAAUUAAGUGUCUUUUUAAGAACAUCACUUACAGAGGACAGAGGUGGAAUUCAAAUCCAGGUAGUCUGACUCAGAAACGGUGUUGGAAGAUGUUUGGAUGCAGGGAGGCUAGGAGGUGUCCACUCAGGGUAGGGGUAGGGAGAAUUUUGAAAUAAUGGAACCAGCUGGGAGUCAGAUGGCUCUUUAUCAUUACUGGGUAUCAACAAUUUUCAAUAAUGCAGUGAUGAAUUAUUUUUUCCAUAUGGGUGGACCACUCCUAUCAUCUUAUUAGGCUGGACACUGUCAUGUCUGUAUACAGUGUCGGACACUGGAGCAGCCAGGCUACACCUUGGAAGGGAGCUCAACCGAAACACUGAGAAUGGAAGAGCAAAAAGAUGGAAAGAACCUGGGUUUGUUUUUUUACCUUUUCUUUUUUUUUUUAAUUACAAGUUGAGCAUCUCUAAUAUGAAAAUCCAAAAUCCAAAACACUUCUGGUCCCAAGCAUUUUGGAUAAGGGAUAUUCAACUUGUAUUGUGGUAAAAUAUAUAUAACAUAAAAUCUAUCAUUUUAGCCAUAUUUAAGUGUACAAUUCAGUGGUAUUAAGUACAUUUCGCAAUGUUGUGUGUCAUCACCAUUACCCAUUUCCAGAACGUUUUCAACAACCCCAAACAGAAAC
rnacentral:lncRNA from 10 species